rnacentral:rRNA from 1 species
AUGCCGCUCGAGGAGGCCUCCGCGGCGGCCGCCGCUCCGGCGGCGUCUCCGGCUGUUGCAGCCGUCGUCCUUCCGCCGUCUGCAUCGUCAUCCCGGGCUGAUAGCGUCGUGGAGACCAAGGCAGGAGUAGGGUCGUGCACUUGGGCUGCAAGCACCAUCCCGGCUGCUGGCGUUGUCCCUCGACCGCGGCCGCUGCCGCCAGCUUGCAGAUUCAGGAGGGAGGAUGGGGGUGUGAAGGCCUCGUGCACGCCCCAUCUCAAUCCUGCGUCAACAUCUGCUUCUGUCCGGACUCAUGCCGCCCCCGUCCCUCUUGUCGGUGUCGUCUCAAGUGUGCUGCUGCCGGCCCCUGCUGCCCCGGCGAAUGGAGAGGAUGGGCGUUGUGAAGAGGAUCCGGCUCUGUCGUUGCCCGCCAAUGCAAAGACCACCGUUGUUGCCAUGGGGCGUGAGCUAACCAGUGCACCGCGAGCCCGAGCCCUGUUGCCGGCCCCUGUGGCCCCGGCCAAUGGAGACAAUGAGGGCUGUGGAGAGGAGAUGGCCUUGACGCUGCCCGACAAUGCAAAAAGCAUCGUUGCUGGCAUGGGCAACGGGCUGACCGAUGCACCAUGA